rnacentral:tRNA from 1 species
GGUGAGGUGCGAGAGUGGCUGAAUCGGGCGGUCUCGAAAACCGCUGUACCCGUUUCGGGUACCGUGGGUUCGAAUCCCACCCUCACCGCCA